UACAUAUAUAUGACUUAAUUGUGAAUUUUUGGUUCUGAAAUUAACUAGUUUUAGCUGGCUUAAAUAUUUGAAAAUUUGUCUAAUAAGAGGAUAGAACUGUUAUCAAAUAGGUAUGAUUUUUGUAUUUUUGGGAGAGAAAAAAAUGGGGCCUAAAUUAUUUCAACUCCACCUUACUUUUCUAAUUAGGUUUUAACAUGAACAUUCUUUUUAUAAAUCCCUAAAUCAGUCUUACGUUUAUCUGUUUAUAUCUUCGCUUGUGAAGGUUUCAUUGUGAGUUACUAUCACAUCGACGGCUAUGUUCACUAAUGACCAGAGGCAAGCAGAGCGAACUGGAAGAUCUGGAACUCCAAGGCUUCAGUUCCUCCAGGAAUUAGUGAAUGAAUUUCAGAGCUCAACUAGUCAGGAAACAAAAGAAAGAGUCGUUGCAAAUUUGGCCAACUUUGCUUAUGAUCCUUACAAUUUUUCCUUCCUACGCCAGCUAAAUGUUCUUGAACUUUUCUUGGACUGCAUGACGGAGCCAAAUGAGAAGCUUAUUGAAUUUGGUGUUGGAGGGAUCUGCAAUUCUUGUGUUGAUCCUGCAAAUGCUUCUGUUAUAACUCAGUGUGGUGGAAUUCCCCUCGUCAUCGAAUGCUUAUCAAGCCCCGUAAGAAACACUGUGAAUUAUGCACUUGGUGCCCUCUAUUAUCUCUGCAAUGCAGCAAAUAAGGAAGAGAUUAUGAAACCAGAAGUGGUAGAUGUCAUCAAAAGAUAUGCCGUGGCUGAGAGUGCGAGCUUCAGUAAUCUAGCUAAGGCAGUUCUGGACAAGCACUCAUCUGAGAGAAAUUGAGAUUCGAUAUCCUUGAUGGCGGAUUGGGUGGAAGAAUUUGCACUGAUAGGAUCAAACCAUCCAUUUUUUAGAUGAUAACAGGUGCUUAUAUUCGGAUUCCGUAUGAGUAUUAACGUACCUGUGUGGAUAGGGUGUUAUCAAUGAUUUACCAUUCUCGCAAUAGCUGCUUGGUAUUGUCUGGAAAUUAUUUGACAAUAGGUAUUGCUACUCCUUACAUUAUGCUGGUGGUUUACCGUCAUUAACCUCUAGGAAAGUUUCGCCCACUCAAGUAAGCUCUAGAAGACUGGAUUUUUUUUAGUUCAACCGCGUGUAGGUAGAGAUUUGAAUCUUCAACAUUUUUAUUGAUGAUACAUGUCUUAACCAGCUGAGUUAUUAAGAUACUGAAUUUUGAUCGUGGUUCACUUGUUAUUGAAUUACUUGGUAUCAAAGUAUCAAACAAACUAAACACUCACUUUGAUUGAUUGUAA